rnacentral:misc_RNA from 1 species
AUCAUAGAUCUGAGAUUUGGCCUAAAGCAGUCAAUCAGAUCCAGUGGAUAGAAGAAUCACUGACAUCACGCAAAGAUCAGCCCAGCCCAGAACAGCAACGAGCACAAAAUAAACAGGAUCGCCGUCAUCAGGCAAAAACAGCCAGCCCAAUUCAUCUGGGAGAACAGCCAGCCCAAUUCAUCUGCAAGAACAGCAAACAGCACAAAACAAAACAAAACAAAAUCACAAAACAAACAAAUCAAGACUCGGGACAUAGUUUCCUAAACCCGGAGCCGUCGGGAGCGGACGGCAGGAACAGACGACGCCGUGGAGCGGACGGCAGGAACAGACGACGCCGU